UACAGAGGGUGCGAGCGUUGUCCGGAAUCACUGGGCGUAAAGGGCGCGUAGGUGGCGACCCAAGUCGAUGGUGAAAGCUCGUCGCUCAACGACGAGUCGGCCACCGAUACUGGGUUGCUCGAGCACUGUAGAGGCAGAUGGAAUUCCGGGUGUAGCGGUGGAAUGCGUAGAGAUCGGGAAGAACAUCGGUGGCGAAAGCGCUCUACUGGACCACAACUGACACUCAGGGACGAAAGCUAGGGGAGCGAAUGGG
rnacentral:rRNA from 1 species